rnacentral:rRNA from 1 species
UACGGGGGGGGCAAGCGUUGUUCGGAAUUACUGGGCGUAAAGCGCGCGUAGGCGGUUUUUUAAGUCAGAGGUGAAAGCCCAGUGCUCAACACUGGAACUGCCUUUGAAACUGGAAAACUUGAAUCUUGGAGAGGUCAGUGGAAUUCCGAGUGUAGAGGUGAAAUUCGUAGAUAUUCGGAAGAACACCAGUGGCGAAGGCGACUGACUGGACAAGUAUUGACGCUGAGGUGCGAAAGCGUGGGGAGCAAACAGG